GAAAUCCUGUUCAGGAAACUUUGCUUGAAGUUGGAUGCUUUUCUCAUUUCCACUUCACUCCAAAACCUGAUAUGUCUAUACAAGAUAAUGUCUGCGCCCUAGUUAUGGAAGAGCAUGCACCUGUGGCGGUCUGUGAUGAAGCAAUGCUGGCUCCUGAGGAAGUAUUUUCCGGCAAAGAUGAUAUCAAAGAAGCAGAACUUACACAGGUGGAGAGAAAAAGGAGGACAGCUAACAAUAAAAGGAAAUUUAAAGGUAAGUUUGGACAAGAAAAGUUUUAUUGUCCACUUCUUUUUUCUCUCUUAGCAACUAUAAAGGUGGUAUGGAGGAGUUUAGUAUCCCUCUUGGGGCCACAACAAUUAGAGGAAUUCUUGC